rnacentral:snRNA from 1 species
GGCUUAUAAAAGUGGCAGUAUCGUAGCCAAUGAGGUUUAUCCGAGGCGCGAUUAUUGCUAAUUGAAAACUUUUCCUAAAAUAUACUUCUCUAACAGUACUUUGAUAGUUGCUGGUAG